CAUGUGAAUAGGGCUUUUUC
rnacentral:miRNA from 1 species